CAUCCUCCAAGGCUAAAUACUCCUGACUGACCGAUAGUGAACCAGUACCGUGAGGGAAAGGCGAAAAGAACCCCGGCGAGGGGAGUGAAAAAGAACCUGAAACCGUGUACGUACAAGCAGUGGGAGCCCCACCACUAAGCCAGUGGUGAACUCCACAUACGCAUCCUUUGCUGAGGAUACGGUUAACGGAGCGAAAGCGACGUUCAACCGCAAAAGAAGCAGAGGGGGCUUAGUGGUGGGGUGACUGCGUACCUUUUGUAUAAUGGGUCAGCGACUUAUAUUCUGUAGCAAGGUUAACCGAAUAGGGGAGCCGGAGGGAAACCGAGUCUUAAUUGGGCGUUAAGUUGCAGGGUAUAGACCCGAAACC
rnacentral:rRNA from 8 species